ACGGGAGGCAGCAGUGGGGAAUAUUGGACAAUGGGGGAAACCCUGAUCCAGCGACGCCGCGUGGGUGAAGAAGUAUUUCGGUAUGUAAAGCUCUAUCAGUAGGGAAGAUAAUGACGGUACCUAACUAAGAAGCUCCGGCUAAAUACGUGCCAGCAGCCGCGGUAAUACGUAUGGAGCAAGCGUUAUCCGGAUUUACUGGGUGUAAAGGGAGCGUAGACGGCAUGGCAAGUCUGAUGUGAAAUCCCCGGGCUCAACCCGGGAACUGCAUUGGAAACUGUUAAGCUAGAGUGCAGGAGAGGUAAGUGGAAUUCCUAGUGUAGCGGUGAAAUGCGUAGAUAUUAGGAGGAACACCAGUGGCGAAGGCGGCUCACUGGACUGUAACUGACGUUGAGGCUCGAAAGCGUGGGGAGCAAACAGGAUUAGAUACCCUGGUA
rnacentral:rRNA from 1 species